AGACACAGAAUUUGCUGGCACCUGGAUUUUGGACUUUCCAGUCUUAUGAACUGAUUAGCUCAAAUUCUUCUUGGAAGGGCUUGCAAGGUUUGCAGGAGGGUGCACAGUCGAUCUGGGGAGAGAAGUAAACACAAGCAAUGAAGAUAGUGGAGUGGCCUGGACGGGAAGCUUCUUUUACAAAGGAAGGAUGACAAGAGCCCACAGUUCUUAUUGUGUAGGUAAAAUGAGCCAGGGGCCAUGCCAACCGCAUCACAUGGAUUAUCACCUUGGAUUUUAACAGUAAGCCAAAGUAACAGGGAACCGUUGAAUGGCUCUAAGAAGAGGAACAACAUGAUUUGACUUAGGUUUUUGAGGGAUCUCUCCAGCUACAGAUUGAAGAAUGAUUGUAAAGAGGGUGAGUGGAAACAGGAGGCCUGGUUCAUCCUCUCAACUCUCUAUUUGUGUCCAGUCAAAAUUCGCAAUGCCAACACAAUAGUUUCUAGUCCCAUGAUCCACUGAGAAAAACAUGGAUUCUUUAAAAGUAAGUGGCAAAGUACCCCUGAUUUUGAAACAUGUAUGGUCGUGAUAUCAAGAGUGACAACCUGGGCAAAAGAGAGCCAUUGCAAAGAAGAAAGGCCUUUAGGGAAAUGGAGCAGAAAGAGGAAGCAGUCUCUGUUUACCCUGCUUCUCCAGCCUGAGUUCCUUUUUUUUCUCCAUUCUGCUUGUUGAACUCCUGCCAAACUCCGAUUUUGACAUCAAAGCCCACCUUGAAUGCUGCUUGUCGCUAAAGCCAUCGCUGGCAUUUCCAGACAUUGUCAAUAUCUACUGGACUAAAGAAAUUCUCUACUAAUCAGAAAAGGAAUUGGUCUGUAUUGAAGCUGGAAAGAAAAUCAGAGGAGCCAAUGCUGUCAGAGUGCAUCCAAGGACCAUUUAAAGAUGUCCUGGCCGGAGGUCUGGGCUGUCAGGUCCUGCCAGCAGAAUGAAGAGGACAUGGAGGCAUUUUCAGAUGAAGAGAAACUAACAGGAUUUUUCAGCAGACUUACUCUAAAUGAAUGGCUACAGGAAAUACUAUAAAAAUAAAGGAAAUGAUAAAAGAAGAAACUUUGUAACAUCAAGAAAGAAGGAAGAACCACCAGUAAACAAAAAUAUGGGUAAAUAAAAUAAAAUUUUUUUUAA
rnacentral:lncRNA from 1 species